rnacentral:rRNA from 1 species
UUUCCGGUUGAUCCCGCCGGAGGUUACUGCUAUCGAGGUUCGACUAAGCCAUGCGAGUCGAAUGUAGCAAUACAUGGCGUACUGCUCAGUAACACGUGGACAACCUGCCCUUGGGUUGGGUAUAAACCCGGGAAACUGGGUAUAAUCCCCUAUAAGUCUCGGCUGCUGGAAUGCACCGAGAUUAAAAGCUCCGGCGCCUAAGGAUGGGUCUGCGGCCUAUCAGGUAGUAGUGGGUGUAGCGUACCUACUAGCCUACGACGGGUACGGGUUGUGAGAGCAAGAGCCCGGAGAUGGAUUCUGAGACACGAAUCCAGGCCCUACGGGGUGCAGCAGGCGCGAAAACUUUACAAUGCUGGCAACAGCGAUAAGGGAACCUCGAGUGCCAGGUUACAAAUCUGGCUGUCGAGAUGCCUAAAAAGCAUUUCAUAGCAAGGGCCGGGCAAGACCGGUGCCAGCCGCCGCGGUAACACCGGCGGCUCGAGUGGUAACCGUUAUUAUUGGGUCUAAAGGGUCUGUAGCCGGCCGGAUAAGUCUCUUGAGAAAUCUGGCAGCUUAACUGUCAGGCUUUCAGGAGAUACUGUCUGGCUCGAGGCCGGGAGAGGUGAGAGGUACUUCAGGGGUAGGGGUGAAAUCUUGUAAUCCUUGAAGGACCACCAGUGGCGAAGGCGUCUCACCAGAACGGACCUGACGGCAAGGGACGAAAGCUAGGGGCACGAACCGGAUUAGAUACCCGGGUAGUCCUAGCCGUAAACGAUACUCGCUAGGUGUCGGCCACGGUGCGACCGUUGUCGGUGCCGUAGGGAAGCCGUGAAGCGAGCCACCUGGGAAGUACGGCCGCAAGGCUGAAACUUAAAGGAAUUGGCGGGGGAGCAC